AGGGAUCCACUGUGGGGAUGGGGGCACAAACGGGGGGGUUGGAACCCAAAAUGGGGCUCACAAAAUGGGGGAUCCCUCAGGGAUCCACUGUGGGGAUGGGGGCACCAAAUGGGGAUCUUUAAAUCAAAAAAUAUCCUUCUGGAGUGGGGGGCAUCCCUCAGGGAUCCACUGUGGGGCUGGAGAGCCUGGGGGAGGGUAAGGACUGGGGAUUGAGUGAUCCAGAAGGGCUGGGAUCGAUCCAGAGGGAUCAGGGAGGAUCCAGGAUCGAUCCAGAGAAAACUGAGAUCAAGCCAGAGGGGUUGGAAGGAGCUGGGAUGGAUCCAGAGGGGCUGGGAUUGAACCAAUCAGAUCAGGGAGGAGCUGGGGUCGAUCUAGAGAGAUGUGGGAGGAGCUGAGAUCAAUCCAAGGAGAUCAGGGAGGAGCUGGGGUCGAUCCAGACGGGCUGGGAUCGAUCCAGAGGGAUCAGGGCAGAGCUGGGAUCGAUCCAGAGGAGCUGGGAUUGGUCCAAAGGGAUCAGGGAGGAAUUGAGAUCAAAUCCAGAGGGAUCAGGGAGGAGCUGGGGUCGAUCCAGAGGGAUCAGGGAGGAGCUGGGAUUGAUCCAGAGGGAUCAGGGAGGGGCUGGGAUCAAUCCAAGGAGAUCAGGAAGGAGCUGAGAUCAAUCCAAGGAGAUCAGGG
rnacentral:lncRNA from 1 species